ACAUAUAGAGAAAAUAAAUAUAGUCUUUCGUACUCAUAAUUAAGUAAUUUUCGAUGAUGGAGUUUUUGUAUCGACCAUCCACUUCGUUAAAUAUAAUUUAGAAUAUUUGAAAGUUCUAAAAAAUAAAUUUUGUAAUUUUUCGAAAUCAUAAUAAAGCCUAUCAAGGGGGCAUAAAAUGAACGGUUAAAAUUGAACGACGCCCUAAUUAAAAGAGAUGAUCGGGUCCUUCAAUUUAACAUCGAAGUUAUUAAUCUUUAUUUAGAUAAUGAAUAGAAUUUUCUAUCAAAAAAUCAAUCUGUUCAAAUUCUUUUACACCGUUAAACUAGCAAGUAUUUCAUACUGACCGUUAAAAAUUGACAAUUUUGUGACCUUUUGAUUGGAAGGUAAAUGAUGUCGAAAAACUAUAAAAUUUGAUUUCUAGAAGUUUUAAAUACUCUAGAUAAUGUUUAACGGUGUGGAUUGUCGAUUCGGAAACUCUAUUAUUAAAAAUGACUUAUGAGCACGAAAAUAAUCGUACUUAUAUUAAUAUAGUAGCCGGACUCUCUCUCUAUAUAUAUAUAUACACACACA
rnacentral:lncRNA from 1 species